UACAGAGGUCUCAAGCGUUUGUUCGGAUUCAUUGGGCGUAAAGGGUGCGUAGGCGGCGCGGUAAGUCGGGGUGUGAAAUCUCGGAGCUUAACUCCGAAACUGCAUUCGAUACUGCCGUGCUUGAGGACUGGAGAGGAGACUGGAAUUUACGGUGUAGCGGUGAAAUGCGUAGAUAUCGUAAGGAAGACCAGUGGCGAAGGCGGGUCUCUGGACAGUUCCUGACGCUGAGGCACGAAGGUCAGGGGGAGCAAACGGG
rnacentral:rRNA from 1 species